UAGGGAAUAUUGCAAAAUGGGCGAAAGCCCGAUGCAGCAACGCCGCGUGGGCGAUGAAGGCCUUCGGGUCGUAAAGCCCUUUUUGAGGGGAUGAGGAAGGACAGUACCCUCAGAAUAAGCCCCGGCUAACUACGUGCCAGCAGCCGCGGUAAUACGUAGGGGGCAAGCGUUGUCCGGAUUUACUGGGUGUAAAGGGCGCGCAGGCGGGAUAAAAAGUCAGUGGUGAAAUCCUACAGCUUAACUGUAGAACUGCCUUUGAUACUUUUAUUCUUGAGUUCGGGAGAGAGAGACGGAAUUCCAGGUGUAGUGGUGAAAUACGUAGAUAGCUGGAAGAACACCAGUUGCGAAGGCGGUCUCUUGGUCCGACACUGACGCUGAGGCGCGAAAGCGUGGGGAGCAACCA
rnacentral:rRNA from 1 species